rnacentral:ncRNA from 1 species
AGUUGUAAAAGGCAAGGUGCUUGAAAAAGUACUCACGCAAAACCACGGAUCUAAGGGGUUUCCUAUGAUGGCUGGGUUGCAAGU